ACCUGGGUGGCUCAGUUGGUUGAGCGUCUGACUGCAGCUCAGGUCAUAAUCUCAUGGUCUGUGAGUUCAAAUCCCAGGUC
rnacentral:tRNA from 1 species